UACGUAGGGCGCAAGCGUUAUCCGGAAUUAUUGGGCGUAAAGAGCUCGUAGGCGGUCUGUCGCGUCUGCUGUGAAAAUCAGGGCUCAACCCUGGACCUGCAGUGGGUACGGGCAGACUAGAGUGCGGUAGGGGAGAUCGGAAUUUCUGGUGUAGCGGUGAAAUGCGCAGAUAUCAGGAGGAACACCGGUGGCGAAGGCGGAUCUCUGGGCCGUAACUGACGCUGAGGAGCGAAAGCAUGGGGAGCGAACAGG
rnacentral:rRNA from 1 species